UAGAGAAUAAAUCUAGGCCUUUAGAUCUACACAAUCAGAAGGCGGAUUUUAAUUCGAAAAAUUCAGAAAAAAAGAAGGAAAAUCACGUUAAUUAAAGAUUUCAACAUUUGACUACACGGAGGGGUUUUUUCGGGAAUUUACCACUAAGGUAAAUCUGGAAGUUUCCGACUUUCACUCUCUCAAAUCGCUCCAAACCGUCUUCUGUAGAAUAGGGUUUUUUUCGAACAUCCAUAAUCUUAUUUCCAAAGUUUUUCCUGCAGAUUGAAGGCGACAUAUGAAUAUUUUCCUUCAUAUGGGAGACGAUUCGGAAAAAGAUUUGAGAGAGAUUGUCCUUGAGCAAAGUGGUGGCGAUGCCGCAGGGAAUCGAAAGUGGGCAGCGGCGCCACCCUCCAGUUUUCGUCGGAUUUCUCCGCAGUAAGGACAACAUGUGCUCCACAACGCCUCUGGCCCGACUACAUCUGGUUCGGAUCGGUCGUCGGCCACAUUUGGUGGUGCACGAGCACGGCGCACCCUGCCGCUCUGUUCUGCUGCCUGCUCGAGUCGACACUAAUUGACCUCGUUGAUGUUUGGGUGCAGUGAAAUAGGGUGAAGAAUGUGGAGAUUCAAGAACUUUUGCUUCUAUUUGGUUGUUCUCGACUUUUGCUGUGUUAGAGCAUUCUUGUACCAUUAAUGAAGAUUGAAUUAUUGUGUUUGGUUAUGUUAGAAAUUGGGUGAGUGAUUAUGAUAUAAUGGGGGAAGUUUACUGAUUGAGGAGGUUUGCAGAGGAACUCAAACAUGAUUGAGGGGGUGUUGAACGAUCGUCUGGGGAAGAAAGUUCGGGUGAAAGUUCAAGUAUUGUUAUUGACUCGUUCUCGUGUUGUAAUAUUCAAUUAAACUUAAAAUAUAUUCAUUAAGUUUCAUGACUUAUUCAAAA